rnacentral:lncRNA from 1 species
GCUCUUUCCCUCGCGUAAGAACCUGACUUGCCAGGCACACAGUGAACCAGCAGAAGACUACAUGAGGACAAUGGAGAUAUGGCUACUUACAAGAAACUACACAACUCAUUGGCUGGUUGUCUCGCUGUGGCACUUCUCUGUUUAUGUUGCCAUGGCUUCCUCGACAGCCUCAUUCCUGCCUUCGUGUCUGACACACAUUUCUGACAUCGUGAUGGAUGCCUCUACCCUGAGCACCAGCACCUCCUCAAGGGAAACGCAGCCUCAACCACACUCAUCAUUUUCUUUCAUCAACCGCCUGUCCUUCUGGAUCGCCCAGUUUCCAGUCUUGAGAGCUCCGUUAUCACUGACCCUCUGUCUCCUGAUCCCAUUGUAGUAGUUGAUAGUGUCAACUAUGUUACACCUAUACAAUGUUUUCAGAAAUGACCUCUUUUUCUAUUUUCCCCUCCAUGAAUUUAGUUUAUAAUAUUAUUUCUUAAAAUACAAAUAAUACUUGCUCAUUGUAGUUUUU